rnacentral:rRNA from 1 species
GACGAACGCUGGCGGCGGGCUUAACACAUGCAAGUCGAACGGAAAGGCCCUGCUUUUGUGGGGUUCUCGAUUGGCGAACGGGUGAGUAACACGUGAGUAACCUGCCCUUGACUUUGGGAUAACUUCAGGAAACUGGGGCUAAUACCGGACAGGAUCCCCUGCUGCAUGGUGGGGGUUGGAAAGUUUCGGCGGUUGGGGAUGGACUCGCGGCUUAUCAGCUUGUUGGUGGGGUAGUGGCUGACCAAGGCAUUGACUGAUACGCGGCCUGAGAGGGUGGACGGCGACAUGAGGACUGAGAGACGGCCCAGACUCGAACGGGGGACAGCGGUGGGAAGUAUUGCACAGUGGGCGGAAGCGUGAUGCAGAGGCGCCGCGGGCGGGAAGACGGCUUUCGGGGUGUGAACCGCUUUCGCCUGUGACGAAGCGUGAGUGACGGUAAUGGAUAAAGAAGCACCGGCUAACUACGUG